rnacentral:rRNA from 1 species
UACAGAGGGUGCAAGCGUUAAUCGGAAUUACUGGGCGUAAAGCGUGCGUAGGUGGUUUGCUAAGUCAGGUGUGAAAUCCCCGGGCUCAACCUGGGAACUGCGCUUGAUACUGGCAGACUAGAGUGUGGUAGAGGGUAGUGGAAUUCCCGGUGUAGCGGUGAAAUGCGUAGAUAUCGGGAAGAACAUCAGUGGCGAAGGCGGCUACCUGGACCAACACUGACACUGAGGUACGAAAGCGUGGGGAGCAAACAGG